UUUGUGACUCUUAAGGGCACAAGGGAUCAUUAUGACUUCAUAUAUUAGAAAGGACCAUUUAGGCCUGGGUUUGGCAGGAAACUGAGUCUUAUCCAGGAACGCAUGGGCCAACUACUUGCUGCUGCAUCAGAUCUUAUUCCCCAUCCUUGCAAAACUGGGCUCCUUCCAGCACUGAUUGCAGCUUACCUACAGGGAAGAGUAUGUUCUGAUGCUCCUGAUAAGUCAUGUAGUCCUAACCCUUUGGCCAGGGCAGGAUUAUUUUCAGCACUAUAUCCUCUAGCACAGUGAUUCUCAACCGGGGUGCUGUAACACCCAGAUGGACAACAAGAUUUCAAAUAGGGAUGCAUCAUGUUAAAAACAUUUUGACUUGUUCUGGUUUUUAUGAGUUCUUUGCACUGAAAAGUGGCUCUAUACUAUUUCUGUAGUCAAAGUGAAAACUAAAAGCUGGCUUUUUCCAAAGGGUGCCUGGAAUCUAAAAAGAUUGAGAAACAUUGCUCUAGCACUUUGUUUGGCAUGGAUAAAGCUUCACUGUCACUACCAUUAAUUAGCAAAUUAAAAAAAAGAAACCAUACAAUCCAAUCCAGGCCUACACAGUUCCAAGCAUGUAUAAACAAUACUGGACCAAUAAAUGGUAGCCAUGAGUUCAGAGCUAUCAGGUUUUUUCUGUGGAAGCUCAGGACAGGAAUACAGCAGUAGAAAUCUGCCUAUUCAUAGACUGUAAGGCUGGAUGGGACCUCAAAAGAUCAUCGGGUCUAGCCACAGGUGUUUUCAGCGCUUCCAGCAGGGCAUGAUACUGUACAGCUUCAAGUGAUCAAAGAAAAUACCAUACAUGGUUUCAUAGCAGAGCUAGGGAUACUGCCAGAGGCAAAAGACAUUGCUAAAAAGAAGGAUGUGCACCCAAAUGUUGAAAACAAGGAAAUGCAGAAACUCUAGUAGGUCAAAUUGAAAAGCAUGAUAAGGCAAGCCAAAGAUUAAUUUGAAGAGUACCUUAUGAAAAAAAAUUAAAAGCAAAAGAAGAUUUUUUUAAAAUAUAUCAUCAGCAACAAGCUAGAUGGAGAGUCUGCGGGACCCUCAGAUAGGCUAGGUGUAAAAGAUGCAUGUGGGAAAAAUGCAGCAGUAGUAGAGAAGCUAUGUGAAUACUUUCCCUUGGUUUUGACUACAGAGGAUAUUUGGGACACCAGAUCAAUUCUUCUUAGAUAAAUCCAAAGAGUUAAAUCAAACUGAAGUGGCAAUAAAGGUUUGGGAACUGAUCACAAAAUUAAGCAGUAGCAAGUUACCAAGACUAGAUGGCAUUCUCCCUAGAGGUUUGGAGAAAGUUAAAUGUGCAGUUGUAGAGCUGUUGCUAAUAGGAUAUAACCAAUAGCUCCAAAAGCAAAGACGUUUGCACAGCUUAUUGCUAAUAUGUAUGUAAAGGUGCUGAAGGGUUUCCUCAGAGCUUGCAAGCUCAAUCAGGGUGUUUGCACUUUUGGGACAAGGAUUUGCAGCAGGCUGUGUACAUAGAUGGUAUGCAUGUGAUUGGACAGCUGUAACUCCAGGGUGGGAACCUCGGGAAAACAGGGGAGACUGCUGGGGAGAGGGAAGCUGAAUCUGUGCUGAGAAGGGCUGCUUCUAGCACAACUGCUCCUGAGAGGACGACUGGCAGAAGAAUUAUUGCUGAGUGAGCUGCUACUGAGGGCAGAGGAACUACAAGCCACUGAGUCCCCAGCAGGAUCGCCUGUAUGGAAUUAACUUUUUGUGAAGCAUUGCACUGUCAACCUGCUCAAGAUUACAUUUUUUUUUCUGAAUCUGAAAGAGAUGUAGAGUCUAAUGGCAACAGGACUGAUGACACAACAUUUUUGGAUUAUUUUUGCCUAGUUUUUUGUGGCUUUUUAUAUAUAAUGCUUGGGCAGCGCAGCCUCACCUUGACAGAGAAGGCAAGCACCAGGAAGCUGAGGCAGCAGGGGUGCAGAAGAUGGUGCUGAAGAGGGACCAGAGCACGUAGUUGUGGGGUGGCUCCAGGGGGGCUCUGCGCUGCCCUGUAGGCAACACUGUAGCGGGGGUGCUGGCCUGGCCCGGCAGCGGGAGGGGACAGGGCGGGCCAGGCAGUGCUGAGGUGGCCACAGGGGCGCAGCGCAGAGGGGGCCCCUGGGCUGGGUUGUGUACCUCACCCCUGGUUACAGUCCUUGCUCCUUGUCGUCCAGCACAUAACAGACACUACCGCAGGCUUCCUUCACAAUUCUCAAAUUCCCCAUGAUAGAUUUCCUUUUUUCCAAAAUGAAUUAAAGCUGAUGGGGUCUGCUC